AUCCCAGGCAAACUGAGUCAUGGGGCAGGGAAAUGCCUUCAAGACAGUGAGCAUCAUUCAGUUAUGGCACCUGAAGGCCUCUUGCUAGUGGCACAACACCAUGGACCUAGCCCUUGGAGGAAGUGGAGUGGAGGGGCCCCUUGGAGGGCCAUGGAUAAUUAACUCCUUCCAGAAACUGGUAUCCAGGACUAUGCCUCGGAGGGCGCCUACAGAUAAUGAGCCUACCAUCAGGUCACAAUUUUCUAAACACAGAUGUGUAAAGAUAUAAGGAAUUUCCUGUUUAUCAUCCUGUCUUUGCCUAUACAAAUUCCUUUUUAAAUCUGCAUGAUUGUAUCCCAAACCGGGUUAUAAAGAAUAGCAGAUAUUCUGGCAGAAAAGAAUACUACGGCUUAAUAAAUUUGGGAAAUACUGCAUGCCUUGAAUCACCAUGUCUCAACAAAAAAUGUUUUACUAGGGUUAUCCAAAUUUUUGCAUGAGGCUGUCAUACUCACACACAAAUACUCCUCAA
rnacentral:lncRNA from 10 species